rnacentral:lncRNA from 1 species
AGCUUCAGAAUUUGCUGGAGCCUGAAGCUGAAGUUGUCUGGCAUCGAGAAUCAAGCAGUUUUCACUUUCCGAGAUGGAGGACGGCGGAACAGACUGAUAAGAUCGUCAAGACCCUGUUGAGCAAUACCAGUCACAUUCAGUUCUCUUUUCUUUCCAUUAGAUUUUUCCAGUCUUUCUUUUAGCUUCUUUUAUUCGUACGGGGUUUCAAUGUUGUGCAACAGUAAUACAAGGAAGAACACAAAAUUAGCAAACCAGAAGGAAGUUAUAAGGGAUUUAAUAAACUAAGAGUCAUACCCUGGUGGUGAUGACAAGAAAACUGAAAAGUGUAAUCAAGUAUGAUCCGAGAACUAACAGCAAAAGCAAGUCGAAUGUCACACUGGCAACCUACAAUAAGAAGAAAGUAAGGUGUUAGAUUUCUACAGGUAAUGAGGAAAAUGAUUUGCCACAAUAAGCUCAAAGGCAAAUCAAGUAACAUGACUCUAGAUUAAUAGAGGUGCAAGAUGAAACAGAAAGGCCACGUUAGCCAAGAGAGGCCUCAACAAAAUAGACCUAUCUGUUAAAAUUACAAUUGGAC